CCUACGGGCGGCAGCAGUGAGGAAUAUUGGUCAAUGGGCGCGAGCCUGAACCAGCCAAGUCGCGUGAGUGAAGACGGUCCUAUGGAUUGUAAACCUCUUUUGUCGGGGAGCAAAAGACGCCACGCGUGGCGUUCCGAGAGUACCCGAAGAAACAGCAUCGGCUAACUCCGUGCCAGCAGCCGCGGUAAUACGGAGGAUGCGGGCGUUAUCCGGCUUUAUUGGGUUUAAAGGGUGCGCAGGCGGAAGAUAAAGGUAGCGGUAAAAUUGAGAGGCUCAACCUGUUCGAGCCGUUGAAACUGGUUUUCUUGAGUGAGCGAGAAGUAUGCGGAAUGCGUGGUGUAGCGGUGAAAUGCAUAGAUAUCACGAAGAACUCCGAUGGCGAAGGCAGCAUACUGGCGCUCAACUGACGCUCAUGCACGAAAGUGUGGGUAUCGAACAGGAUUAGAUACCCGUGUAGUC
rnacentral:rRNA from 1 species